GACGAACGCUGGCGGCGUGCUUAACACAUGCAAGUCGAGCGGUAAGGCCCUUUCGGGGGUACACGAGCGGCGAACGGGUGAGUAACACGUGGGUGACCUGCCCUCAGCUCUGGGAUAAGCCUGGGAAACUGGGUCCUAAUACGUGGAUAUGACUCCACGGUGCAUGUCGGUGGGGUAGGAAAAGCCUUGUGCGGCUAGAGGAUGGGCCCGCGGACCUAUC
rnacentral:rRNA from 1 species